rnacentral:rRNA from 1 species
AACGAACGCUGGCGGCGUGCCUAACACAUGCAAGUCGAGCGCGAAAAGAGCAAUCUUAGUAGAGCGGCGCACGGGUGCGUAACACGUGGGUAAUCUGCCUCGAGGUUUGGGAUAACCAUUCGAAAGUUUGGCUAAUACCGAUUAAGCUCACGGUGACUUCGGUCGCUGAGAGAAAAGGGGCCCGAAAGGGUCUCGCCACGAGAUGAGCCCGCGGCCCAUCAGCUAGUUGGUAGGGUAAUGGCCUACCAAGGCUUCGAUCCGUAACUGGUCUGAGAGGACGACCAGUCACACCGGAACUGAGACACGGUCCGGACUCCUACGGGAGGCAGCAGUGGGGAAUAUUGGACAAUGGGGGCAACCCUGAUCCAGCGACGCCGCGUGGGUGAAGAAGGCCUGCGGGUUGUAAAGCCCUUUCGGUGGGGAAGAAAAGUCUCGACCUAAUACGUCGGGACCUUGACGUA